CUGCCAGACCCACCGGAGUACAGGUGAGCAACAUGACCAGCGAGCUCUGAAUCCAGGAAUUUUAUCCGUUACCAAGAAACCGUUGAAAGGCUGCAGAUUGAAGUCACCUGCUGCCUGUUUUAUUUAUCCAUACAGGGGCAGAAAAUGAACCUGGGCGUAGCUUGAAUGAAGCACAGAGACCUGCCAUCUAUGGACUGCUUUUUUUUUUUAAAGCUGUUAUUUUCUACAGGAGUCCAAAACUAAAGCUUCAAAC